rnacentral:misc_RNA from 1 species
AAGUCUGUGAAGUGUCACUCCUAAACAGGAACAAAACUCAGUUUUAUUCAGAAAGCUGUAAACCAAAGAUAAAUUUUGUCUCAGCGAGCUGUGGUUUGUAAAGUAAUAGUGCGAUGUGAUUUUUUUUUAAAUAUUGUGUGAAUGUGAUUUUAAUACAAAAUAAGAUUUUUGUGUUUUUUAUAAAGAACUGUGUAUGCGAGAAUAGGAUACUUGUAGAUCAUGUGUUUCCCGGAGGCCGGUGGAUCAAGUUGCUGUUUUCCAAUUAAGAAAGCACUCUUCGAAAUAAAGAAGAAAGGUUGUAUUCCGACCGGUUCGCGACAAUCUGUUAUGUGUUCAGAUGAAAAUUAGACAUUUUGUGUGUAAAUAUAUAUCUAUAUUCAAUUCUACAUUUUAACAUUAAAAAAAUUAUUUAUUUUUAUAUGAAAUUUUCUAAAACUGGAGUUUUAAAUAUGUAAUAUUUUUAAGGUGAACAAAAUAAUGUGUAGAGAAAUAUGAUGAUAUUUAUAUUUAAUUUUACAUAUUCGCGCCCGAGUGGAACAAUUUUUCCUGGAGAAUUGAAUGGUUGUAGAUUCUGAUAAGCCCACGUGUUGACAGCUCAAACUAUGAUAUUUAUUUUAUUUUCUUUUAAAAUCUAAGUCAUUUUUGUUAUACUUUCUGUAGACAUGAACAAAAAUCAGAAUAUAUAUAACUAUC